UACAGAGGGGGCAAGCGUUGUUCGGAAUUACUGGGCGUAAAGGGCGCGUAGGCGGCCUUCUAAGUCGAACGUGAAAUCCCUGGGCUCAACCCAGGAACUGCGUCCGAUACUGGAAGGCUUGAAUCCGGGAGAGGGAUGCGGAAUUCCAGGUGUAGCGGUGAAAUGCGUAGAUAUCUGGAGGAACACCGGUGGCGAAGGCGGCAUCCUGGACCGGCAUUGACGCUGAGGCGCGAAAGCCAGGGGAGCGAACGGG
rnacentral:rRNA from 1 species